UUUGAAAGCAAAAGUAAGAAUGCAUUUUGUAUAAUGAAUAGAUCAUACCACUUCUGAGUUUCUUAAUCAUCAGCUAUUUAAAGCAAUGGUCAGAAACUAACUUCCCCCCCACUAGCCUUCUAUAGAGCCCUUUGAAAAUCGUUCAAAACCAAUCUAUCUAUCUAUUUGGUAUAAGCAUGGAGCUUUGUUGGCAAAAAUCCAUCCAUGGCUCUUAAAGAAGCUUGGAGGAUUUUGUGUGAGAGGGUUCUCACCCUUCACACUCCACCUCCUACAGUUUGCUUAUGCUUUAGCCAUUGGUUUCUCUAAUCAAUCACCACAAAAGGGUAUACAUGGAGGAACAUAAUUCUCUGAGUGGCAUGAAGCAGAGAAGCUAUGGCCACAUCUUAGCAAACCGGCAAGUCACAAAAAGGCAAUGGACUCUCUCUCAUUAAAGGGUCCUUAUGGCUAUGUAUGUAUUGAUUCUAUUGUAGUUCUUCUUCUUUGUUUCGGUAGAAUGUAUUAAUAAACAAAGAUGUUCUUCCUUUGAGAAGCUACAUACCAACUUGUGUUGUCCAUAACACUCAAUUUGCAGAUGACUAGAAUCAGGCUUUCUCUUCAGUUUCUGCAAAUGAGUAGGUAGGUAAUUAUGACCUUAUAUCAUAUCCCAUGUGUGUUAGUGUGUAUGCUUGCUAUGUUGUGACCUUAUAUGCAAUAAAAGAAUUAUGGUAGUGUUUUAGUUCCUUAAAGGGUAGGAUUAUGUUCUGUAGAAGUUGAUUGGUUAGAAAAGCUGCAAAGCCCUCCUAGAAAAGUUGUUAAAAGUCAACAAUGACCAAGCCCCUUUUUCACAAGUUUCUGAUAUUUUACUUACAUUGAAAGUAUUCCAGGAAACUAUAGGGAUAAAUAGUUUGUUUAUCUUUAUCAUGUACAUGUAUUCACAAAAAUGAAAAAUUUCUUUGCUAAAAUUACACGAAAGUCAAUGACUAAGAAAAAAUUCUUUGCUAAAAUUGAUACGGAAGUAAAUGACUAAUACCAUAUUGUUGGAGUAUAUAGAGGAUGAGUUCUAAUGGACACUAAAAAAUCGUUCAAGGGAGAAGCUGCCAUGAGACUCAUACCUGAAGAAAAAAAAUUUAGACUACAAAUGUAAGAUGAAAUCUUAUAUCGAAUAAAAUGAGAAAGUUAAACAUCAUAUAAGUAAGAAUAAAACCCAUAAAUUUAACCUUAAGAUUUUAAGUUAAAUUGUGAUGUCAAAUUCAUUUAAGUGUUAUUCAUGAUUUAUUUGUGUAAAUCUUUUCGAUCUUUAAAUUUUGAGGGCAACAAGUGAAAUUGAUUAAGGGUGCUAACUAAACAAUCUCUUUAGGUAGCCUAGACAUUUGCGUUCAAUGAAAAACAGUUAUUAGAAAAUUUAUCUAAACAAACUCAUCGUCUUCGUGGUGAUAAGAAAAAUCUCGAUGUCACGUUAGAUUUAUGUCAAGGAGAAGGAUGAAUAUUCAGUUGCUUCUGCUCUCUUAAUGGUUUAACCGUGGAUUAUACUGUUAGUUAGUUAAAAGUUUUAAGUUAAAAAAACUGCAAACUACUCUAAUCUCGCCAGUAGAAACACUUUAAUGGAAGCUCAAGCUCGUUCUGAAUACAAUUUAGGAACUUAGAAGAGAAUUUCAACAUUACCUAUUAUCCAC
rnacentral:lncRNA from 1 species